GCCGGAAGCGGCCGGGCCGGGCCGGGCCUGGGGGGGGGGGGGCUGCGUCCGGGCGGCUCGGGGCCGCGGCCCGGCUCGGCCCGCCUCCCCGGAGUCCGGGUCCCUGCGGCCUGGGGACGCACAGCCAGAGCGCCCGAGCCGGGACCGCCGUGCUGUCUCGUCCUUGGAAGACGUGGACGCUGCGAGUCCCCGUGUCCCGCGCCCUGAGGGACCCCCAAACCGGCUCACUAAGCCCUCCCCUAAUCCUUGGGGCCGGGAGACACACCUUCGGGGGCGUGGAGGAUGCCGAGGGGCGGCAGGAGUGUUCCCUGAAAGAUAACCCUCGUUAUCGUCCUCUCUGACCAUUGGAGCUGGAAUGGCUGCAGUGUUACUUCCACUGGCUCCUGAAGAGCCAGAGGGCCUCUUCAGAGUAGACAACAAAAAAGGUCCUGCCAAGGUUCAGGGAUCUGGCCCACAGGAGAGCAGCCCAAACAGCCAGGAGCUAUUCCGCCAGCGCUUCCGACAGUUCUGCUACAAGGAGACUCCUGGACCCCGUGAGGCCUUGAGCCAGCUCUGGGUGUUCUGCUGUGAGUGGUUAAGACCUGAGAUACACAGCAAGGAGCAGAUGUUGGACUUGCUGGUGCUGGAGCAGUUUCUGACCAUCCUGCCCGAGGAGCUGCAGGCCUGGGUGCGGGAGCAGCACCCAGAGAGCGGGGAGGAGGCCGUGGCUGCGCUGGAAGAUCUGGAGAAGGAAUUGGAUGAACCAGACCAGCAGGUUUCAACCCAGACCUGUGCACAGGAAGUGCUUUCUGAGACAUCAGAGCCUCUGGACCCAGCUAAGGAAGCAACAUCUCUCCAGCCUCAACCCAUGGAGAUCCAGCUUACGGGUGAAUCUCAGGACCCUCAGCACCAACAGGAUUGUGAUGAUGUGAUCGGAAUUGGGAAAGGGGAACUGAUUCAAAAGCAGGAGUUAACUAUAGAUACGGAGUCUCCAAAAAAGUCAUCUGGCCAAAUGAAUGGAAAGGUCCCUGAAUGUGGAGAGACCCAAGAACAGGAAGGAUGGACAAAAAGAUAUCAGAGAAACACUUCAACUGAGAAAAGAUACAAGUGUGAUGAAUGUGGGAGAAGAUUCACUCAAAACUCAAGCCUCAUUAGACAUAAAAGAAUCCACACUGGAGAAAGACCCUAUUCAUGUAAUGUGUGCGGCAAAACUUUCAUCCAGAGCUCACAACUUAUUGACCAUCAGAGAAUACAUAACCGGUUAAAACCCUAUCAGUGUGAUGAGUGUGGAAAAGCCUUUUAUUACAGUUCACACCUUGUUCAGCAUCAGAGGAUCCACACUGGAGAAAAACCUUUCCAAUGCAAUGAGUGUGGGAAAGCUUUUCACUACAGCUCAGGCCUUGUUCGACACCAGAGGACCCACACAGGAGAGAAGCCAUACCAGUGCAGAGACUGUGGGAAGGCUUUCUGUCUGAGCUCACAUCUGAUUCAGCAUCAGAGAGUCCACACUGGGGAGAAGCCGUACCACUGCAGCGAGUGUGGGAAAAGCUUCAGCCAGAGCUCGGGCCUCUUCCAUCACCAGAGAAUCCACAGUGGGGAGAAACCCUAUGAGUGUGAUGAGUGUGGGAAGGCCUUCAGCCACAGCUCAGCCCUGGUGGGACACCAGCGCAUCCACAGUGGAGAGAGGCCUUAUGAGUGUGACGUAUGCGGGAAAGCUUUCAGUUACAGCUCACAUCUUCUGGGACACCGAAGAAUCCACACUGGAGAGAAGCCCUAUGAGUGUGACGUAUGUGGGAAAGCUUUCCGGCGGAGCUCACACCUCAUUGUACAUCAGCGGAUCCACACUGGAGAGAAGCCCUGGUGAUUGUCGGCGCUCAUUCCUGCAGAACGCCAGAAAAGCACAGCUGGCAGGGGACGCCCCCAUGACAGCGACAUGGGGAAUUCUGUGAUCACCACUGCAGUUUGCGCAGUCAUUUGAGAAUACUUCCGGAGCUGAGACAGAGCCCCAUCCAACAGCUACUACUGUUGCUUGCAACACUUUUCCUUGAGAUUUUUCUGGAGCCAUAAUACCUCCUUUGGUUAGUUUCAGCUGCACUCCUUUCAACUAAAACUCCAUCGAAGAGGGGAAGAAACUUUUAAAAAAUGCUUGCCUUGCCAUGACUCCAGCUGCCCCCGUUCUUACAGCCAGGUGCUCCAAGGCUCUGGCAAGCUGAUUGUGUGAAGUUGAUGGCAGCCUGAAGCUGGGGGCAUACCUGAAGAAUAUUCUGGACUCCUUAAGAAGUUCAGGACCUGGAGCAGGGUUUGUGUUUGGAACCUGGUGAGAAAAUUUGACACAAAAAUUAGAUGAGGAGGGAGAAUCACGCUGGUGAGUGCACUGCACUGAAGGAGGCGGCAGGGCACAGUUGAGCAUUGUCUGCAGUUUUAAUUUGCUCAGCAGGCUAUGGGGACGUUUUAUGCCACAGUCAAGGGAAGGGGCUGGCUUUCCAUUAUGUACUUCUGAUGGAGAGAAGAGCAGAGGUUAUGCUGUUUUUAAAUUUCUCUCCCAGAGAGGACAGUUCUCUAAAGCUGGCUUACUUGGAAGUUACUCAUUUCUCCGUUUCCUAAAUGACCUUUCCAGGUUUAUUUUUUAAUUUUUAAAAAAAAAUUUUUUUUAUUAUGGUAUGUUAAUCCCCAUACAUUACAUCAUUAGUUUUAGAUGUAGUGUUCCAUGAUUCAUUGUUUGUGCAUUACACCCAGUGCUCCAUGCAGAACGUGCCCUCCUCAAUACCCACCACCAGGCUAACCCAUCCUCCCACCCCCCUCCCUCUAGAACCCUCAGUUUGUUUCUCAGAGUCCAUCGUCUCUCAUGGUUCGUCUACCCCUCCGAUUUCCCCCCCUUCAUUUUUCCCUUCCUGCUAUCUUUUUUUUUUUUUUUAACAUAUCAUGUAUUAUUUGUUUCAGAGGUACAGGUCUGUGAUUCAACAGUCUUACACAAUUCACAGUGCUCACCAUAGCACAUAGCCUCUCCAGUGUCUAUCACCCAGCCACCCCAUCCCUCCCACCCCCCACCACUCCAGCAACCCUCAGUUUGUUUCCUGAGAUUAAGAAUUCCUCAUAUCAGGGCGCCUGGGUGGCUCAGAUGGUUAAGCGUCUGCCUUCGGCUCAGGUCAUGAUCCCAGGGUCCUGGGAUCGAGUCCCGCAUCGGGCUCCCUGCUCCUUGGGAGCCUGCUUCUCCCUCUGCCUCUCUCUCUCUCUCUGUCUCUCAUGAAUAAAUAAAUAAAAAUCUUUAAAAAAAAAAGAAUUCCUCAUAUUAGUGAGGUCAUAUGAUACAUGUCUUUCUCUUAUUGACUUAUUUUGCUUAGCAUAAUACCCUCUAGUUCCAUCCAUGUCGUUGCAAAUGGCAAGAUUUCAUUCCUUUUGAUGGCUGCAUAAUAUUCCAUUGUAUACAGAGCCUGGGUGGCUCAGUCGUUAAGCGUCUGCCUUCAGCUCGGGUCAUGAUCCCAGGGUCCUGGGAUCGAGCCCCGCAUCGGGCUCCCUGCUCGGUGGGAAGCCUGCUUCUCCCUCUCCCCCUGCUUGUGUUCCCUCUCUCACUGUGUCUCUGUCAAAGAAAUAAAUAAAUCUUUAAAAAAAAAACACACAGGGGCGCCUGGGUGGCUCAGUUGGUUAAGCGACUGCCUUCGGCUCAGGUCAUGAUCCUGGAGUCCCAGGAUCGAGUCCCGCAUCGGGCUCCCUGCUCAGCAGAGAGUCUGCUUCUCCCUCUGACCCUCCUCCCUCUCAUGUUCUCUGUCUCUCGUUGUCUCUCUCACAAAUAAAUAAAAUCUUAAGAAAAAAAAAUUAAAAAAAAAAAAAGAACACACACACACUUAAGAUAAUUAUUCUACACAAACAAUCAUAUACUGUUUUGUAACUUACUUUUUUUAUUCAAUAUGCCUUUGGCAUCUUUUAAUUUUUAGCUUUUAAAAAAGUUGGGGAUAUAAAAAAUCUAAAUUCCCAAAUGUGGACAUUUGGGUUUCCCCAAUUUAAAUAAACAAUGUUUCUUUGUAUAUGUUUGAACAUUUGUGUAUUUUUUUAAAGAUUUAUUUAUUUAUUUUAGAGCUCAAGAGCUGGGGGAGGGGCAGAGGGAGAGAGAUCUCAAGCAGACUCCCUGAUGAGUGCAGAGCCCCAAGUGGGACUCAAUCUCACGACCAUGAGAUCAUGACAUGAGCGAAAAUCAAGAGUUGGUGGCUCAAAUGACUGAGCCACCCAGUCGCCCUUUGUGUAAGUAUUUCUAUAUAAGUAAUUCCAAGAAGCUAAGCUGUUGUAUCAAGAGGUACGGACUUUUAAGGUCUUGCCUUCUGAAAAUAUACAACCCAAGAGUGCCAGUAUUUUCACACACUUUCCAAUACUAAAUAUGACCAAUCUUUUUAUCUUUAGUAAUCUGAACAAUUUAAAACAUUUUUGUUAUUGUUUUAAUUUAAAUUCUUUAUUCGUGAACUUGAGCACCUUUUCAUGUUGUCUGUUUGUGUUCUAUAAAUGCUUACCUAAGUUUGUCAGUUUUGCCAUUGGCUUGGUGGUAUUUUUCUUAAUUUUUUGUAAGAGGUCUUUGUGUAUUAGGAAUAUCAGUCCUGUGUCUUUUAGAUGGGUGACAUAUUUUACGCUGAGCUUAUAAGUUAGUUUUUAUUUUUUUCAUUUAAAAUUCCAAAUUUUUACAUCACCAGUUCCAUCUGUCUUUUCCUUUAUGGGUUUUCAGUUAUAUGUCUUUAGGGUUUUAUGUCAUGCUUAGAACUCUCCCCACUCCGAAGUAGCAAUAGCUUCCCAGCCUAUCUCCCUGCUCUGUCCUUGUCCAAUCCCCUUCAUUUACAACUUUAUUUUUAACACAGCAGCCAGAAAACUCUUUUCGAUACCUGUAUCUGAACAUGUUACUCUGCUGCUCAGAAAUUCUGAAUGACUUCCCAUCUUGGAGUAAAAAAACAAAUGUAUCUUUGAACUCACCCGAGACCCUCCUAUCUUUCCCUCUCUCUACUCCCAACACCCUUUUGUUGCCUUAGCUCCAGACACACAAGCCUCCUUCCUGUGCCUAGAAUAUUUCAAACACACUCCACUCCAUGCUGUGCAUGUGCUAUCCCUCUCCCUGAAACAGCUUUACCCUUGAUGAUGCACUCGCUCGUCUCCCUCAGUCUUUGCUCAAAUGUCAGUGUGCUAGUGAGGUCCUCCAUGACCACCCUAUUUAAAAUUGCAUUACUUCAUUCUCACCCCAAACUUUGCAUUUCCUUCAUUUUAUCCUUGGCACUAACAUCCACCAUCUAAUAUACUAUAUAUUUUUCUUGUUUAUUGCCUGCCUCCCUACCUUAUACGCAGAAGCACACAUACUAAAUUACAAAUUCCAUGAAGUCAAGAGUAUUAUUUUCCUUUAAACUAUAGUUCCAGCUUCCAGAACAGUGCCUGGCAUAGCAGGUGAAUAAUCAAUAUUUGUGUAAGAAAGAGAAAGAGGGAGAAAAAAAAACUAAGCAUUUCUGACCCAUCAGAUUGGCAAACAUCAAAAUAUCUUAUGCUAUUGUGUUGACAGGUAUAGGUAAACAGGAACAUCUCUAGUAGGUUCUAUGGUUGGUAAUUUGGCUCUAACAAAAGUACAAAUGUCCCUACUCUGUACUCUAGUAAUUCUAUUUCUAGGAAUAUAUACUAUGUAAAUACCCUUACACAUGAGAGACACAUGUUUACAGUAAUUUGUUGCAGCAGCGUUUCAAAAAGAAGAUUGGAAACAACCUGCCUGUCAACGGGGUAAUUAUUAAUGAAGGAUGGCACAUACAAUGAAUACUAUGCAAUUGUUUAAAAAAAAAGGCAAGAUCGAGGAAACCCUUUGUGCACAAUCUCCAAUAUCAGUUGCUAGGAGGAAGCAAGCAAGGCGCAGAAAUGCUACCAUUUGUGCAGGACGACAGCGAGGGUGACAUGUACCCGCCUGACGUGUGUACGGAACAGUGCGUGUGCCCGAAAACCACAGGCUGCCAAAAUCAGAUGCUGAGGACGCUUACUCUUUUCAAAUAUUGAGCUGUGUGAAUGCUUUACUCUUUCGUACUACGCUUCUAAUAAGUAAACCUAAAAAAUUCGGAGAGGGGAAAAGCUUCAGAAAAAGAACAAAGAGGGCGUGCCCGCGGGCCCGCGCACAGCCUGCUCGUCCACGCGGUCCUCCGCGGGCGGGGCCACCGAGGCGAGGCUUCCUAGAGCGGCCGGAAGUGCCGGCGGCCCGCGGCGGGCGCCCAUUGGUCGGCCGGAGCCCAGCCUUUGUUCCGGCCGCCGGGAGGGGGCCGCCGCGGCGCGUGAGUGCGCCCUGCGUCCGUCGCCUCCGCAGGGGAGGACGAGGGCCGAGCCUCCGGGGCGGACGGGGAGAAGGCGAGGCGGCGCCUGCCCCGCAGCCGCCCAAGUGCGGGCUGCGCCUCUCGGGCGUGCCGUCGGCGAGCCUCCGCGCAGCGCCGUGGACACCUGGCGGUUCUCGAGGGCUGACGAGGGCCGGCCGCUCGUCAGCCCCGCGGGAACGGAGUCUGACAGACGGGAGCUGCCGCGCGGGCCGGCCGAGGGCGCUUGCGUCCGUGAGCGCGCAGAUGUGAGUCGGCGCCCUGCUCGCCCUGGCUCCCUCUUUAGCUGUGUCUAUGCUCACGGCGGCUUUUGUCAUCUCCGCGGUAACGACGUCCCCGAAGCACGGUUCCGAGAGGUUCUCCUUGAAUCCGCCC